GUAAGGGAAAGGAGAGGAGAUAUGUAACCCUAAGGGGAACAUUAAAUACAUACUACUACCACUACUACAAAGGGUUAAACGUUCCAAUAAUCGUCAAUCACUAAGUUUGGCACCAGUGUAAGUAAGUACUUGGAUACGCAGGCAACGUCUCAAUACUUGGAUAAUUGCAUUCCGGUAAAAACCGUUUCGUGAGAAUUCAAUUCGAGAGAAACUCGCCGCUACCGCGCGCUGCUGUCUGCUCAAGUAACCCCAAACAGGUGGUGUUCCAGAAAGAAACGAGGGGCUGUGAAAACAACUGCGGCAGAUGUGGACUCUUGGCACGCGCCCUUCUGUUCAUCAGUGGUGCUCAUUCCUCCGCAGGAGCCACGAACUACGUUUACUUCGAGGGAUUUCUUAAACGACCCUUGGUAUCGAAACGCGCAUGCGCCAUCAGUUUCUGGACCGCGAGCGUAGAAUUUAGAUAAGCAGCCAGCCAAUGGGG